rnacentral:rRNA from 1 species
UACGGAGGAUGCAAGCGUUAUCCGGAAUGAUUGGGCGUAAAGCGUCCGCAGGCGGCUAUGUAAGUCUGCUGUUAAAGAGUGAGGCUCAACCUCAUAAGAGCAGUGGAAACUACAUGGCUAGAGUGCGUUCGAGGCAGAGGGAAUUCCUGGUGUAGCGGUGAAAUGCGUAGAGAUCAGGAAGAACACCGGUGGCGAAAGCGCUCUGCUGGGCCGCAACUGACACUCAUGGACGAAAGCUAGGGGAGCGAAUGGG